GGGGGCAUCGCAUCUUCUCCCGUUCGGCUCCUUCUCACGUGACUGUCGUUUCUUCUCCUUCACCGACGGCCGGCGGCCACCUCCACUCAACCACCGCCGCCGGCCGGACACCAUCUCCUUCCUUCUUCUAUUCACACCGCAGCCAAGGAAUUUUGCCUCUACAGCUCAGUCUUCUCUCUGUUCGCGACGUCCUCUGUGUUCGCGGCAUUUCUUCCUCGCGCGGGCUAGGGUUCGCGACAGAUUCAACAGGCGACUUCAUUCCUCCGAGUUCUGAGUUCGAGCAACAACAUCUUCUCCAGAUUUGGUCAGCAUAGCAUACUUCAAUUCCAGCACUACUUCCUUCAUCCGGACCAGAUUUGGCCAGUCACAGCUCCACCUUUUCUUCCACAGCAGUCUUCAAGUUCGAUCAGCAAUUCUUCAACAGAUCUGGACAGCUUUUGUUUGUUGCAGUUUCUUCACUUGAUUCGAAUUGAUAGUGAUGUUUCUUUUAGUUGAUUGUUUGAUGCUUGUAUUGAGUUGUUCUCCCUUGUUUUAGAUUUGCACGUACUCAUGUCAUUUCGAUUUAUGCUCAUAAGGUGUUCGACAAAAUGUUUCUUCCAACACUUAAGCCAAAUCUUGGCCAAGAGAAAGAUCCGAUGGCAGGAAUUAUGGAUUUGAUGAAGAACAUGUAUGAAGAAGGCGAUGAUGAGAUGAAGCGGACGAUUGCCAAAGCCUGGUUUGAUGCAAGAUCUGGAAAAACGGCUGAUCCACUAAAAAAUUACCCAUGAAAAUAGGAGCACGAGGAUGGUUUUAUCUUUAACCAUUCCAGCACAUCUUUGUUUAUUCAGCUGACAACAUGAACUUUGACUGUUGAACUCAUUUUAGCUUUUUUAUUAUGCUAUAAAUCGUUUAUUUGUUGAACUCUCAUUAUAACUUCCACAACAGAAAAUUUUAUGUUAUUUGCCUACUACCAAUGCAGUUUAACUGAUUUUACAUUGACUGAACAAGGUUGAUUUUAUUUAGGUAUCAAACUCUCCCAUUUGUUUUAGAUAUUACAUGUCUUGUUUGUUAAUUUCUCCAAACCAUUAUUUCUCAAUUUGUUAACAAGGAAACUCAUGUUAGCAUAGUCAUAAUCAGAGCCUAAUUAUAGUUUACAAUUAUCUGAGUGUUAUUGAUUAACUGUUCUGUCCUUUCUUCUGGUUCCAUUUUUUUUUUAAAUUUGUGCACUCAUUUAGAUGAUUUAUUAUUCUUGUUGUGAUGAAUUCAGGUCUAAUGAAAAUACUGAAGAAGUAUGACAAGAGAACAGGAGCACUUAUCAGGCAGCCCUUCAUCGAAAAGGUGCUGCAGCAGCCAUUCUUUACAACUGAUCUCCUAUACAAACUCGUGAAGGAGUGUGUGGCUAUGCUCGACCACCUCUUCCCCAGCAACAACCUGUCAAUUUCAGCAGAAUGCGACGGACAAAGUGGAGUGCCAAAGCCGGCACAAUCAGGUGGGAGGGUUCCGGAGAUGGAGGAGAUUAAAUAUAUGCAGAGCUUAUACAUGAAGAGCACCGUAGCAGUGCUGCGAUCCU